CUCCAAAAUAAAUAGUGCAAAUUCAAACUCCAAUUAUUUUACUGAUCAUUUCUAUGAUAUAGAGAAGCCGUGAUGGUCUACCAAGAAUAAAGUAGUAAUUACACAUAGCUAAUCUUAAAUUACAAUUUUAUAAACAUAUGUGUCGUCCUUCCUCCCGUUCCUUCUUCUAGAAUUCUCUUUCACUAUUACUUUGCUAAUCAUCUGCCAUUUGCUAAUGAGUUCUAGCCACAAUUAUCUGCCAUUACUAGUAGAUCUUCCUUGCUAACCUUCUUUUAUCCUUAAUAUCUUCUUUCAGGAAUUUUACUCUUUUUUUUUCUCUAAUCAAAAUUUGGACUCAACUCUGUGAUUCACAAUUGGGGAUAAACUUGUCUGCUGCUUCUUGCUGAAUGAACUCUUGGAGCAGCAAUCGUCUACCAGGAUGGAGUAUUCUUUGAGCUUCGAACUGCUUGACGGGAAUAUUGAGGUAUAACCUUUCAGUUGUUAUUUUUGAAGGGUUUAUAUGUUAUUUUUUCCUUUUUAAUUUAUCAUAAUUAGUCAGUCCAUGGUCGACUCUCUGCUAAUUUUGAGGUAGAACUUUUUUAAGGUUUAAAAUAAGUGAAAUUUACUAAUCGAUGAUUUAAAAAUUUGAGAUAUAACCCCCUUUUAGAUUUUUGUUUGUACUGUCGGACUACAUUGCCCAUUGAUUUCUCAUCUAGAUAGAGUUAUCUAGUAAAUGUGCUCGUGUGACGUAGCAGGUAUCCCAUAAAAUUAGUCGAGGUACACACAAGCUAAUCGGAACGCCAUUGUUAUUUUUUUAAAAAAGAACUUGAAGUUGCUACUUCCUUUAAGAUUUGUAUGCUACUCAUUAUUUGUUGACAAGGCGCCCAUAGCUGCCACCUUCUGAUCUUGUAUAUGAAACUCCCCCAGGAAGCGAGCCUAAUAUUUGAAUCUUGAAGACUGAUUUACAAAUGGAACUGAGUUAUCACGGCUCUUGAAUAGAUCAAGCAAAGGUAGAAUGGAGAUCUUUAAAAAAAAUGCUCAAUGACACUGCAAGUAAAAUAAAAUAAAAUAAAUAACAUGAAGAAAAUAUUAGCCAGUACCUUUGUCAUUCAUGUAAUUUGGUAUAGUUAGCAUAACUGAGAUGCCUCAACUGAACUGUAUGCUACAUUUGCUGAUGGCUAUUUAUUUAGAUGCCCAACUAAAAUAAGAUAGAAAUACUGUAAAGCUAAAGUGGUCGACCAAGGGUAAUUUUGACAUUUCAAACCUUAGGUAGAAUUGAAAACCCCCUCAUUCAUUCUCUGUUUUGCAUUUUGUAUCUCUCAAAUUCAUUUUUACAUUCUUCAUCUAGAGUAUUCUAAGUUCAGAGUCCCUGAUAGCCCCAUCUAGCUUUCUUCUUCGUCGUCUUCUUUUAGAGAGGUAAUGAUUAUCUCUCUGCUAUUUACUUAUAGUUAUAGAUUACUGAAGUUCAAAGAUGUGUAUUUCUAGCCAAGUUGGUGGCUACUGCUCCAGUUAAACUUGGGGAAAGAAACAGUGAGAUCAUUUCGUGACAAUUUGAGAGUUUCCAAAUUGGGUAGGAGGAAAGGUACAUGGUUAUAAAUUGAUUAUUUUACCAUGGGAUCUUUUUUCAAUUUGUGGUUAUGACAAUGAAGCUAACUUCCUAUAGGUCCUUUUAUUGAUAAAUCAAAGGAGUAGGGCUUCAAUUUUGUUUGCUUUAUCUUUUUGAGCAAUUCAAUAACUCCACAUCAACUGUAUCGAGUGACAUUUUCCAUUCAAAUAUAAUUAACAAAAGAAUUCAAAAAAGAUUGUAUUGUACAAUUUUGUUUCACCAAUAUUUCUUGAGUAGAUGCUCUUAAACCGUUUGAUACUGUAUAUGCUCAUCAUUCCAAUAUAUAUCAUUUUGCACAGUUGGUUAAACAAUCCAAUUCACUGAAAUUGAAUCAUCCUAAAGAAUUUAGUGUUUGACUGAAAGGAAUGGAACUUGGGCCUAACUCAGAGGUGAGGAUUGCCCAAGCCAUAUAAGGAGACCAAGGACCUCAAAUCCCUCCGAUGUGGGACAACUCAACGGAAACAGUUCCCGUUUCUACAUAACAACCGUUUUUCAAGUCGAGUUUAAUAUCGAGGUGGCUUGUAUAGUUUUCUGGAGCGUGGACAACAUAAAUGGGGGCCCAACAUCGAUAACAAAUUGGGAUGAGCUGGCUCUGAUACCAUGAAAAGAAUGGACCUUGGGCCUAACUCAACCCUAAAAGCUAGCUUAUNNNNNNNNNNNNNNNNNNNNNNNNNNNNNNNNNNNNNNNNNNNNNNNNNNNNNNNNNNNNNNNNNNNNNNNNNNNNNNNNNNNNNNNNNNNNNNNNNNNNNNNNNNNNNNNNNNNNCUAAAAGCUAGCUUAUGAGGUGAGGAUUGCCCAAGCCAUAUAAGGAGACCAAGGACCUCAAAUCCCUCCGAUGUGGGACAACUCAACAUUGACUUCUUGUUUGGAUAAACUAUUAGAUAUUGAUUAUUGCUAUAGUGAUAUCAGAAAUUAGUACAUUCAUUCCAACCUUCAUGGUUGGCCUGGUGGCAAUUGACUUGAACCUUGGGGUUUGCUCUGUUUCAAGGUCUCAAGUUCGAAAUAUACUGGGUGUAAAUAAUUUCUGAGGGCCAUCAAACUAGAUAAAACCUGAAUUAACCGUUGUGCACUUGUUGGAAAUUCUUUGUCGAGGGCCUGUGCACCCCCGGAUUAGUAGGGCUCGAAAAGACUCGGGCACCCAGUGCAAAUAAAAAAAGUAGUACAUUCAUUUUUCAAUUGUAUUUUCAGGUAGGUGACAGUUUCAGUUUUAUGUCAGAGUUUCGUUUACGUUAUAUACAGAUAUACCUUUCUAUAGUAGCAUAAAGAGGGGUGACAAAAGGUUAUCUUUUAUUUCCUAUUUUUUCUUAGUUAAACGACUGUAAUUUAUAUUAUUUUACUCUGAUUUGCUUUACAGUUCACGUCUCCAAGUAUAGGUGAAUGUUACUCAAAAUAGUUCUCAUUUUGCUAAAUAGAUAUUAAACCCCCAUGAGUUACUCUUAAGGGUUCAAUUACUUUGUCUUUUACCUGAUCCAUUUAUAAUUGACCAACUUUUUACUACAUGGGAAUAUUACUCAAAAUAGUUCUUAUUUUGCUUAAUAGAUAUUGAGCCCCCCACGAGUUACUCUUAAGGGUUCAAUUACUUUGUCUUUUACCUGAUCCAUUUAAUUUGUGUUAGGAUAUUUUAUGACAGGUAUGGAUUUUUGUAAAGCACUCUACUUACUACUUAUUUCUGUGUGUGCUAAAAAAGGAAAUUUCAAUUUGUGUCCUCCAGUUUGUAUGGCUUCUAUAUUGUUAAAACUGAAUAUGUGGUUGUGGGCAGACUUAGGGAUACAAAAGAUAUAUAAAUAAUGAAAAGAAGUGGAGAAGGGGAAGAGGAUCGAGUCUAUGGUUGGGGAGAAGAUAGUCUUGGCAACCAAGGGCAUCAUUUACUUUAAAAAGACUAGAUGUAAUGCUAAAAGUUUUUAAACAAUCAUACAGCCUUGGCCUAUUUUACAAAUAAAAUUUUCAAUCGCUUAAUAAUGUGGUGUAUACUUAAUUCAAGAUCCGUGUAUUGUGGUACUUGGAGCAAGCAGAACGGCAAGACAAAUUAAAGCGAGCUGGCAAGACCAAAGUAAACUGGCAAGAUCAAGUAGAGCAAGCUACUUAUGAACUGUUAGAGUCUUGCAUUUCUUCCUCCUAUAAGAAAUACUUAUUAUACUUCAAACGAUCUAAGAGAAGUAGAGUUGUGAGACACUUGAUGUAAAAUUUAUGAUUGUGAAGAUCAGUAUACGUGUAUUGUGGUACUUGGAGCAAGCAGUCAGGAACUUAAACGGCAAGACAAAUUAAAGCGAGCUGGCAAGACCAAAGUAAACUGGCAAGAUCAACUAGAGCAAGCUGCUUGUGAACUGUUAGAGUCUUGUAUUUCUUUCUCCUAUAAGAAAUACUUAUGAUACCUCAAACGAUCUAAGAGAAAUAGAGUUGUGAGACACUUGACCUAAAAUUUAUGAUUGUACAUGGUUUACUUGCUUCUUAUUCAAUUUGUUGCCGCAUCUUCAUAUAUGAUCUUUUGCUCACAAAAGCAAUAGGAAAAUUUUGAAAAUAAAAUAAAAGACUAUUGCUUUCAGUUAACUUAUAUUUAUAAUGAUUGUACAAAUCUAACCAAUUUGAUUCUAUACAUGCGGGAAAUACAAACUAUUAAGUUUAUUGUUUGAGACAUAGAGUUGAAAUAGAGAUGACUUCUCAUAUGAAAUCAAGCAAACUUAAGGUCCAGCCCUUCUUAGCAUACCGCAAGAUAUUGAUAGGUUUAAAUUGAAACGGUAACUACAGUAUUGAAUAGGAUGAUAUCUUUAUAUUUGCAUAAACCUUAUACUUAUUCUUAUCCAUCAUGAUAUAAAAGACAAGCCCUCCACACUUUUUUCGCGAUGUUGUGGAGUUGCGAAUAGUUUUCACAUUUAUGGAGUCGUCAAGUAUAAACUUCUAAUGCAGGUUGCAGAUGCUUCAGAAUAUAACUGAUGUACAUAUUCAGCUUCACCCUUAUGGAUCCUUGAAACACGGACUUCAGUGACUAUAUUCAAGAUAUGAGAUGUAAGGUUAGAUAUUUUUUUACUUCAAAAACUUCAUAAGUUACUCAUGGCACUCCUCUGGAGUUAUACAAGUACUAUUACUAUUUUCUUUUCUUUUCGUCUCUGUGCUUUUUGUCCCCUUUUUAUUGUCAACCUCCAAAGCUUAUGUUGUAAGAUUUGAUGGUCAUGCAAGUAUAAUGCUAUUUCUUUCGAAUAAGAUAAUUAUUUCUUAGCAAUGAAUAUGUUGUUAUGAAUUAAACUUUUGAUUAUCCUUCUUUUAUCAACAUAAGUAGGAUGUAUGAUUAAAAUUAUAAGUGAUAUGUUUAGUUUAUGUGGUGAUACUAUAAGAUUGCAGCUCAAGAUGGUGUUAAACUUUUUGACUUGUGAGAACUUCAGAUAUUUUCUUUCUUUUUAUGAGAAUAUAUCAACUAUAGCCAACGAUUCUGUUAUAUAAAGAAGUUAAAAUAUGUUCGAAUAUUAUUGACAAUUUUUUAGGGCCAUUUUCCUUUUUCAAUUAUGGUAGCGUUUUACAUAACAAUAAAUUUUAAGGCAAUAUAAAGUGUAUUGAUACAAAAAUUCUUAGGAAGGGAGCUAAACAAAAAAUCACACUGGGUUUAAUAUGUUCACAUGUUUUACUCUCUUAUUUUUAUGGUUUCUUAAUUAGUCAUACAUAGCUUACAAGGCUAUUUAAGCUUGUUCGAUAAUAAAUUAAGCAUGAAUGUGUAAGCUUCAAAAAAUUGAUAAAUUCAAUAGAAAACUCCGAGAUUAGUGAACUUUUCACUUUUUGUGUGCAUCUGGAUCUAUCUUAAUAAGCAUGGAUUGGUGAAUCAAUCUAUAUUUUAGAUAUUAUACUUGACAAUUUUGAGGAAGACAAAACUAUUUAUCUAUCCUAUCAUUUUUUUUCUUGGUUUGCGUUAUUAUUAAUAAGAAUUUUUUCAGUUGAUCUUUUUUUCUUAAUCUUAGCAAUGGAAAUAUUAAUUGCUUUAGGUUAGUCUGAUCAAAGAACAACUACCAGCAAGUUGCACUAUAUUUAGCACCAUAAUUGGCAUAAAUUCCUUCUUUUAUUGUCUACUUGAGCUAAAUAUUGAGUAUAUAGAUGCUUCACAUUAUUUCCUUUUAGUUUUCUGGUUUCAGUGUCGAGUAUCUUUUAUUCUAUGGGAGUUGUUUGAUUAUUAACUUCAUUUAAGUUUUAGGAGAUAUAAAUCGUAAUGUAGCUAGAACUAACUAAAAAUAACUAUACCGAUUAAUCUAAUUCUCUUUGUAUCUGAUGAAUAAUAUUUUAAAGAGUACUAAACCUUGGAUAUAAACAAGAACAUAAGUUGUAUCUCCAAGUUUGGUUUAUAAGUAUUGUAAUGGUUUCUUUUCUUAUCAGAGAGACUAUUGGUGCAUUUGAAACCUUAACUUGAAGGCUGAAUAGAAAAGCUCCUUCAACAUUAAUCCAUUGGAGUGGACUGAACUUACUAACUCAAGCAAACCUCCAAUAUAUUGGUGAAAAUGUAUGCUUAAGACAACAUGUGCCGAGAGGCAUUCAGUGAAGUAAAUGUAUCUGCGUCGAGCAGUUGGUACAUGUACCAUUACUUGUACAUUGUUUGUGCAUGUUUCUAAGAUUAUUCAAAUUCAAAGGGUGGCACCUGCCUCUGAUACUGUAAAAAAAGUUAUUAUUAGCUUAGAUCAACGAGAAAGUAAAAAAGCAACGUAGAGUUGUGAGUAAUACAAUUUCAAUGUGUAAUUUUGAUAUAGUUUGAAACGGUAAGUAGGUGUAUAAAAAAUGAGAACCUUCGGUCCACACACUUUAAAUAUAGUUUGUUUGUGUUUGGUAGCUCUCGGAAUCAAAAUGAAAGUCUACAAAUAAUAAAUUCCUUAAAUCCCCUACUUCUAUUUGUAUCCCCUCUACAUCAAGCUUUUUUACCAAAGGACGUCAUGUUUAUCAGUAAACAGAACAAAACGUUAGCGAUAUUGGGCCCGUGUUCAGCACGUGUGUGCCUCAUCUAGUAAACCUAAUAUAAGUCUUCAACUUCAAAUAUGGUAAUUUCAUCUCACGAAUUGAGCCAUUUGAAAUUAUUCUUUUGUUCCCUCAAUCUGCAUUGAUCCAAUUUAUGAAGUAAACAAGUACAUGUAAAGUUCGUCGAGGUAGUUAACUUCUUUCUCUCCAAGUUCCAUUCUUCCUUCAACUAAAUGCACUUUCUAAUGCUAAUAGUUGAUAUUUGAAUCAUUAAGAUAUGUCACGAUUGAUGGACAAAAAGAUACAAACUUACAUUUUUCUUCCACUAUUUUAGAAUAUUAAAAUCAUCCUAAUUAUCGUAAGUAAAAAUUAAGAGUGUUAAGUUCAAAAUAAAAUUUGUGUUUGUGACUAAUAUCUUAUUGAAAAUAUUAAAAGUACCGAAAUAUUUGAAAGAUGGAGUAGCGAUAAUAGUCUAAGAAAUCUUUAAGUGCGUGCGAUAAUGAUGAUAAAGGUUACACUUCAUAAUUUUUUCGAAAUGUUCUCGUGGCAUAAUUUAGUUAAUUCUGAGUUGUUGGGUGGUGACGAUGCAUGUUUGAAGAAUACUAUGGUAGGAAUAAUGUUAAUUGGGCAGUUUGGAUGCUUGCAUGGUUAAAACAGUUGCUUUAUACAUUGUGAGAUCACCUUUAAUAAAUGUCCAAAAUACAUUAUAUUGACUCCAUGACCUGAAAAAUAAGAUAGCCAAUCUGCUGCAACAUAUUAAUUAACACUAAUAGUGUAAAAAUAUUACACUUUCAAACAAUCUGAUUAGUUUUGUUUCUACAGUAGAACCGAAAGUCCAACAUUUAUUCAGAAACGAAGGGCCAAACCACAAUUAAGGUACACAAUCAUUCUUCUUCUACUGCUAAUACAACAACCCAGUAUAAUCCCAUUUAGUGGGGUCUGGGGAGAGUAGUAUGUACGCAGACCUUACCCCUACCCUGGGAGAGAGAGUCUGUUUCCAAAUAGAAACCCGGCAUCCUUCCCUCCAAAAACUUCCCACCUUGCUCUUGGGGAGACUUGAACUCACAACCUCUCGGUUGGAAGUGGGGGUUGCUUACCAUCAGAGCAACCCCUCUUGUCUUUCUACUGCUAAUACAAAGAACAAAAAUCACCUCACCAAUACUGAUACAUCAACUUCAAAGCAAACCAAGUUGAAUACAAACACUACAAACUAGUGUCUGGCUGCAAGUACCUACUCAUUGGCUCCAAGCAGGGUCAUUAGUAACUCCCUGUUGUAACCUGAUGUGUCAUCAGCUACUGCAUAUUCAAGAGUAGUAUUCUUCUUUUUGAAAUAUUCGUCCUUAACUUUGAUCAUAUCAAUUUCAGCUCUAGCUAUAAUUGCUCUAGUUAGAGAAUCCUCAUCAGUUCCUUGCCCAUCAGUGGAUUUUUUUACGACCUGAGAUGCCCAGAUACGGAGGAGAAAAUGAGAGAAAGAUAAUUUAGUCACUGUCAUUAGGUGAUGAACAAUACCAGAUAUCCAGUGGAUAUAAGGAGAUUAUGCUCACAUCAAGAUAAAUUUGUUGGGGCAGGAGGGAGGAGGAGCUCUGCUAAAAAAGGGUAAUAAAGAUUAACAAAAAGAAAGGCAGUCUAACAAGGCAAUCUUUUUUAUGACUAUUUUUGUUACCUCAGCGAAAUGCUUCUGUGGGGAGUCUAUGCACCAAAUAACCACUUUCAAGAUAGACUCCAAAGGACCUUCGCCAGAAUUCAAAAUAUCAUGUGAUAGUAAGUCGGUCCAAGAAGAUAGGAUUAAUUAAAGAGCAAGAAGUAGUGAAACGAAGUUAAUCUGGUGGCUUACAGAUGGCUGACCUGAUAUAUGGAGAAUCCGUAGUUUUGCUCAUACCACCGAAAAGUUGCCUUAAGCUGAUGAAUGUUCCUGCUGCUGAGUAUCAGGAUGAGUUCAUCACUAUCUAAUUGUUUUGUUCUAAUGGCUUCACGAAACUUCGAAGCCUCUAGAUUAGCAGUACUAUGGUCGACCAAUUCCUUGUCAUAUCUGUAGGAACUGACUAUACUAACUAAUACCUGCCCAACAUCGAUUCAAUGCAAAUUCAAACUGGUGCUUGUUAAACCUCACUUCAGAAAAUUUAACAGUGCAAGCUGAUGAUGAAGAAAUACACUAAACAAGAUAACCUAAAAGUGGUUGAGGCUGUACUUCAGCGAGGAAAAUAUCUUAAACAAUGGGUGCAUAUGGUAUGAUGGAAGUCAUUUUCCGAAGAAUAUUUUCUAGUGUUUGGUUGAAGACUGGAAAAAUAAUUUCCAGAGAAAAAAAGACAUUUAUUAAAGAUUUAUAAUGGUAUUAGCAAUCUGGAUAGUAUUUUGACGAAAAUUUUGAGACUGAAGGUUACAUGUCUUAGUGUUGGUUAAAUAAGUGAUGAAAUUAAGAGCUGAGAUAAUGGUGAAGGCUUUGGUGGAAAAUAUUUUCUUGCGACAAACACCAGAAACUGAUCUAUUUGCAGGAAAAUAAAUAUUUUCCCUCAUACCAAACACGCCCAACAUUUAAUAAUUAACAGAAAUAAUGAAUGACGGGCUAGGAAAUGGAAUACUAAACAAAGAAGGUGUUUUUAGGUUGUUAAUAAGAAUUUCGAUGCUAAUGCCCUUUCCAGUUUACAAAUGAGAUAGUACUGUAUUUAGAAACAAACAGACAUUAAACAACAUUUGCUAGAACAUUAUUCAUCUUCAAUUAACAGUAUGUGACUGGAAUCAACGAAAUGAAUUAACCUUUUGGAGAGGAAGAGAGACAUGUGCUAUGAUAUCCUCUUCAAGUGAACAGCCAAAGAGAGCACAAUACGCUUGUCUUACAGCAACUACAUGAUCAGGAGUUGAUGCACAGGCUAUCUCUACUAUCACUUGUAGAUGGGUUUUUUCGUCACGUAUCCAUGAAUUUAAGACCUCAUUUGCAAGCCUCGCGUCUCUUUCAGGAGGAUCAUACGCCCAGAGGAUCACUGCUUUCUAUCAUGCAUCAAACAUGAAAACUAGACAAGUCAAGACUUUUGAGUAUAACUUAUGGCGUUCAAAUUCAGACACUAGAGUUGCUCAUCUGCAGUAAAGAACAGUUAACAACCUUAUCCAUAGGUAAUCCCAUUAACAAAUCUUUCUUCAUUCCUGUUUUUCAUUUUUAAAGUAUCUGAUGAAAAUUGAGAGAACUUUUACAUCCCAAAAUUGGAACCUAUAAUUUUUGAAGGUUCUUCUAUGGAUAUAACAGUUUAGUUCUUUGAAUAUUUGUAGAAUCAAAACUCAAAACUGCAAACUUGUUGUAGCAAGUUAAUUAUAUGCUUCGAUUAAGAAGUGAUUCUAGCUUUACAACACAAACUCAGUAAAAUCCCACAAGUGGGGUUCGGGCAGAGUAGAGUAUACGCAGACCUUACCCCCAACCCGGAGGGAUAGAGAGGCUGUUUCCGAGAGACCCUAAGCUCAAGAAGAGGAAAAUAGACAAUAGAAUCCGUGACAACAACAAAACCAGAAAAAUAACAUUAGCAUCAUACGAAACAAAAAAUAGAUGGAAAAGCAAUAACAGCAACCAGUAAUAAUGCCACAGUACUAUGAAAAAACGGAAAGAUAGUACGGACACAACAUAAACCACUAGCAGUCCAAGACAAAACCCUAACACACUAGCCCCACACCCGGUACAAAGAAGAAAAACACUCCCUCCUAACCUUCAAUCCAGUGCUCGAUCUCCACACCUUCUUAUCAAGAGCUAUAUAGUAAUUUGCCAAGUGACAAAUUUUCCUUCAGAUUCUAAUCCCCUAAUUCAGGUUAUCCAUGAAAAGUAAAGAGACCAAAAUUUGCAGAUGUACCUUGAGGAAUUACUAGGCUCAUAAGCUGAUCCUUUUAAAUUGGGAUUUAUUUAGUAUAAUGGAAUAGAUUUGUUGAGGGAAAAAAGAAUAAUACCUCAAAAUCACCAGAUAAUUCAGAAUGAAGAUCAUCAAUGAGGGAUUUGUCAUAAAGCUGCUGAUAUGCAUGUUUGAUCAUCUUCCUCUCGCUUGCAUUUCUAUGUCCCAACACACUUAUUAUAGCCUUCUCAUCAGUCCCCAGUCCUAAAAAAGACGUAAAAAGAGGGGAAAGAAGAGUUUAAUUUCUACUACUAACAUUUCUUUACACUAUUAUGUCACCUAAUAAACCAUUUCAAGUAAAUGCAACAAGCAAACUGUCACAACAAAUCUACGCAUAUAUUAAUUUACACUGAUAAUAUAAAAACACGGGAAGUUAUGAUGGUAAGUAACCCCACUUCCAAUCGAGAGGUUGUGAGUUCGAGUCUAUGUGGGAAGUUAUUGGAGGGAAGUAUGCUGAGGGUCUAUUGGAAAACAGCCUCUUUACCCCAGGGUAGGAGAAAGGUCUGCGUACACACUACCCUACCCAGACCCCACUAAGUGGAUUAUACUGCGUUGUUUUUAUUGUUAUAGUAUAAAAAGAUGAAAGAGAGCCUUAGAGCAACAAUAAAGUUGUCUCCAUAUGACCUAUAACUAUAUAAGUCACGGGUUCGAGAUGUGAAAUCAGCCACUAAUAUUUGCUUUAGGGUAGACGGCCUAUAUCGCACCUCUUGGCGUGCAGAACUUCGUUGGACACAUUCACCGCCAUUUUUUAGUGUGAAAAGGUAUUUCCCAUUAUGCAAAAAGGACAACAACAGAAGACACGAAAUUCAUCACUAUGACUA
rnacentral:lncRNA from 1 species